AUUGAACGCUGGCGGCAGGCUUAACACAUGCAAGUCGAACGAAGUGGCGAACGGGUGAGUAACGCGUAAUCAACCUGCCCUUCAGAGGGGGACAACAGUUGGAAACGACUGCUAGUACCGCAUACUGAAGGAGGGGAAUGCGGCGGAUUAGCUAGUUGGAGGGGUAACGGCCCACCAAGGCGAUGAUCAGUAGGCGGUCUGAGAGGAUGAACGGGCACAAUGGGACUGGGACACGGCCCAGACUCCUACGGGGGGCAGCCGGGGGGGAUCUUCCGCAAUGGACGAAAGUCUGACGGAGCAAAGCCGCGUGAGUGAUGACGGCCUUCGGGUUGUAAAGCUCUGUUAAUCGGGACGCGGUACCGGAAUAGAAAGCCACGGCUAACUACGUGCCAGCAGCCGCGGUAAUUC
rnacentral:rRNA from 1 species